rnacentral:rRNA from 1 species
UCCCCUAGUAACUGCGAGUGAAGCGGGAAAAGCUCAAAUUUAAAAUCUGGCGGUCCUUGUGGCCGUCCGAGUUGUAAUCUAGAGAAGUGUUAUCCGCGCCGGACCGUGUACAAGUCUCCUGGAACGGAGCGUCAUAGAGGGUGAGAAUCCCGUCUUUGACACGGACUACCGGGGCUUUGUGAUACGCUCUCAAAGAGUCGAGUUGUUUGGGAAUGCAGCUCUAAAUGGGUGGUAAAUUCCAUCUAAAGCUAAAUAUUGGCGAGAGACCGAUAGCGAACAAGUACCGUGAGGGAAAGAUGAAAAGAACUUUGGAAAGAGAGUUAAACAGUACGUGAAAUUGUUGAAAGGGAAACGCUUGAAGUCAGUCGCGUUGGCCGGGGAUCAACCUUGCUCUUUUGCUUGGCGUACUUUCCGGUUAACGGGUCAGCAUCAAUUUUGACCGGUGGAUAAAGGUCAGGGGAAUGUGGCAUCUUCGGAUGUGUUAUAGCCCUUGGUUGCAUACAUCGAUUGGGAUUGAGGAACUCAGCACGCCGCAAGGCCGGGUCUUUGACCACGUACGUGCUUAGGAUGCUGGCAUAAUGGCUUUAAUCGACCCGUCUUGAAACACGGACCAAGGAGUCUAACAUGCCCGCGAGUGUUUGGGUGGAAAACCCGGACGCGUAAUGAAAGUGAAAGUUGAGAUCCCUGUCGUGGGGAGCAUCGACGCCCGGACCUGACCUUUUGUGACGGUCCCGCGGUAGAGCGUGUAUGUUGGGACCCGAAAGAUGGUGAACUAUGCCUGAAUAGGGUGAAGCCAGAGGAAACUCUGGUGGAGGCUCGUAGCGAUUCUGACGUGCAAAUCGAUCGUCGAAUUUGGGUAUAGGGCGAAAGACUAAU